rnacentral:rRNA from 1 species
AUACGGAGGGAGCUAGCGUUAUUCGGAAUUACUGGGCGUAAAGCGCACGUAGGCGGCUUUGUAAGUAAGAGGUGAAAGCCCAGAGCUCAACUCUGGAAUUGCCUUUUAGACUGCAUCGCUUGAAUCAUGGAGAGGUCAGUGGAAUUCCGAGUGUAGAGGUGAAAUUCGUAGAUAUUCGGAAGAACACCAGUGGCGAAGGCGGCUGACUGGACAUGUAUUGACGCUGAGGUGCGAAAGCGUGGGGAGCAAACAGGAUUAGAAACCCCGGUAGUCC